rnacentral:tRNA from 1 species
UCAGUUGGUUAGAGCACCACCUUGACAUGGUGGGGGUCGGUGGUUCGAGUCCACUCGGACGCACCAAUAUUCAGUAU